rnacentral:lncRNA from 1 species
CGCUUAAUCUUCACAACCGUAUAAGAAACCGACAAAUUAUUUUUUUCAAACUGCUCGUUAUAUCCUCAGGAUGUGCUGUUUUAUUUUGACCGAAGCCGUAUAGAGAUUCCAUAUGAGAGUUAUUCCCCCUUUUGUAUUUGAAAUUUUGAAAUGUAUUUUAAACUGGAAAACCAUAAGUGAUAGAGACCUAGGGUCUUUUGAUUUGAGAUCCUUGGUCCAAAAAAAUGAAAAUAAGGUCAAGGUCAAAGGUCAAGGUCAAUU